rnacentral:rRNA from 1 species
UACGUAGGGGGGCAAGCGUUGUCCGGAUUUAUUGGGCGUAAAGAGCGUGUAGGCGGCCAGGUAGGUCAGCUGUGAAAACUCGAGGCUCAACCUCGAGACGUCGGUUGAAACCACUUGGCUAGAGUCCGGAAGAGGAGAGUGGAAUUCCUGGUGUAGCGGUGAAAUGCGCAGAUAUCAGGAGGAACACCAGUGGCGAAGGCGGUGAUCUGGGCCGAUACUGACGCUGUAGAGCGAAAGCGUGGGGAGCGAACAGG